UACAGUAGUAUAAAUCGUCCACCCUUUGGAUGAAAAGCAAAUGAUUUAUCCGGAUUUUGUUCAUCCGAAACUAAAUCACUAGUAUCAACAUCCGGUGUAAUUUUUGCUUGUAUUUUGGAGAAACUCGAUUGAUUUCUAGCAAACUUGGUUUACCACUACAUCGUCGCUUAUUAUUAUUUGUUGCUGCUUGGGACAAUAAAGUUAAGUCAGCAACCAUCUACCAGACUGCAAGAUUCAUCUCUUCCAAAGGAUGUCAUACCUUUCCAGAUACACUGUGUUGUGUGUGGAUAAGAAAUGCAUAGUGGUACCACCAAUCACCAAAGCCACCAUUCCCCUAUCAGACAAAAGGCUCAUGGGGACAGUUCCUGCAAUUUACAGCAAAGCUCACAACUAGCCCUACGAACUUCAGAUACUGCCGAUGGUGAAGCUUGGGUGCACCGGGCCGGUUUUCCAGCCGUGUGGAAUCAACAUCUCCAGCUGAACUGGGGCCGGGAAUUAUAUAAGACUCCUUAGCAGCAUGAGUGCCAGCCAGUCAUUGCUGUUCUUUGCAUUGCUGAGGAGGACAGUCCUGCCAACAUAACAGUUUGUUCAAUAACAGGUGAUAGUUGGGCACACACAAGAAGACAUAGAUCACAGGUGUCCAGGCAUAUGAGUAGACAGGAGUUUCACACUCUGCUAAACUUACUUCAUCAGAGGAGCAGAAAGCUUCUCAAGAUCCCGCACUGCACACUAAGAAAUAGUCUUUGACUACAACAAAGGGAUGAAAGUACAGAGAGGUCCAAUUGAAAUCAAUUCUGUGCUGUGUCAUUUCUUCAUUCUGGAAGUUGAUGGACAUGAUUUAUCAUGGCAUCAAGUGUGCAGUUUGUCGACUAUCAGCAGUCUUGUUCACCAGCUGUGCAACUUGAGCUGGUAGCUUUAUUGCUUGAAGCCACUGCAUAAGAGGGGGAAGGUGCAGGCUCAUCAAAAAGUCUCAAAAGUUGAAACUAGGAAAAGAAAUUUGUCAAGAGUGUGAAUCUAUUUGCUUUGAAAACAAUCGUUACAAUGAUUUGGUUUCCUUUGAAACUUGAUACAUACUAUGUGUAUGUUGAAUGAAUUGAGAUGCUGAAAUAAAGAACCACUAUUCAAAUAUCAGGAAACUGCAUUUUUCAUACUAAAGGGUAAAUGAUGUUGCCAUUUCCUGUAUGUAUUUAAAUAAGAUAUGUUUCCACAAUUAAUAUUUUUAGGGAAUUUUUCUCAACCGAAUGAAUGAGAUUAAAUUGUUCAACGUUAUAUGAGCUUAAUAUGUGUUUUCUGUUUCUUUAAAAUUUGUGAAAAAUUGUCAGAAGAUAAUUAGACCAGUAUCCAUUACUGCAAUUUUACAAUCAAAAAUAUGGACAAUCAGAAAACCUUUUUUCAGCUUACAGUCACACUGACCUUGACCUUUGACCCACUGACCUCAAAAUCAAUAGGGUUCAUCUGCUGGUCAUGACCAAUAAGCCUACCUAGUAU